UACGGAGGGGGCGAGCGUUAUUCGGAAUUAUUGGGCGUAAAGGGCGCGUAGGCGGGAUGGCAAGUCGGUUGUGAAAUCCUUCGGCUCAACCGAAGAACGUCGAUCGAUACUGCCAUUCUUGAGGGAUGCAGAGGAGACUGGAAUUCCCCGGUGUAGCGGUGAAAUGUGUAGAGAUCGGGAGGAACACCGGUGGCGAAGGCGGGUCUCUGGGCAUCUCCUGACGCUGAGGCGCGAAAGCGUGGGGAGCAAACGGG
rnacentral:rRNA from 1 species